CUGGGUCAAUGAAGAAAGAUGGCCUCCAACUUCGGGAUGCAAAUGCAGCCUCCUAGCCCCCUGACAGUGAAACUUGAGGCAGAACAUGAUAACUGGGAUUGCUGCAGCCAACUUGCUGCUUGGAAGAAGCCAGCACAUGGAAGACGGAUGGGCAGAGAGAUGAGAGAGUACCGGUCCCUGAUGAUGUCAUUCAACCAACACUGAGCACCCCCCACCCCAGGCUGCAGAACCCAGGCAUCCUGUUCUGACUUCGGACAUGGCACAGUCUAGAAAAUAAAAGAGUCAGGCAA